UAAUAGGGGUAAAUUCAGUAAAAAAUCUCCCAUUGACUUUAAUGCUAAUCUAUGUAUGGAAUUAAAUUUAUACCUGAUUUACCUUUAGAAAUUGGAAACUUUCAUAUAACAUUCAUGAAAGUACAAAUGUAGCCCUAUCUUUUGCACUAAUAAAAACAUAGGGUCAUGCGGCAUUUUUGGGCAUUCACAUGGCCUUGUUUACAAACAAUGUAGAUUCGCACUGAAUUCCUAUACUGACCCCCAUUACUUUUCAACCCUGUAGUAAAAAAAAAUUAGUACAUUCAGCAUUUAUUUUUUAUUUUUUUCAACUCUAGUUUUGAUCCAUCUGCCAAAAAAUAUUUAUUACAAACAUUAUCUACCAAUCAGAAGAGCAUAUGACUUCAGUGUUAUACAGAAAGCUCUCCCCUAAAUGGGCGGUCCCUGAUGACGUAUAUUUAUUUACUGAAUUUACCCCUAUAAGGGACUUUUUUACUUCUUUUCCCACUUUUUUUGUAAUAAACAUGUAAGGUAUCCAAUUUUCAAGUUCCAGUUUCAAUACAACAUUCAUAAAUGCUGAGUUUGUAAAGAUAGAGCAAAAUUUAUACUACAGCCCAUACUGCGGCCAAUGUAUAUUUGGUAUAUAAAGUUGCACAUUGACUGUUUUUAAAAGAAUGGUGUAAAAUACUAUGUUUAAUAAAUAUGAAUUGUUUUCUGUGUUUGCUUUGACCAGUAUUGCAAGUACACCUAGAAACUAAAGACUUGGUGUACUCUUAGUUAAAUUUUUCCUUAUAUGGAAGUUUUUGAUUAAAUACCCUGAAAAGAGCACAAAAGGACUUUUUAAAGGCUUUUUUAAGCAGUUUGAUACCAAAUAAAACAACAAUUAUGUUUCAUUAUACUAAAUCUGUGUUUUAAUUACUUGUAAAGUUCACAAAAUGUCAUUGACAAUCACUCUGCAGAAAUUCCUGUUACCCCAACAUCAGGAUGGAUUCUUCGCCAAAACUAGACAGCCAAAACUGAAGUAGAAAAAAG
rnacentral:lncRNA from 1 species